ACUUAAGUAGUUUAAUGUAGUAAAAUGUUGAUUUGUGGUGUCAAUGAUAUAAUUUAUUUAUCUUAGGUU
rnacentral:tRNA from 1 species